rnacentral:rRNA from 1 species
AUUGAACGCUGGCGGCAUGCCUAACACAUGCAAGUCGAGCGGAUGAAGGGAGCUUGCUCCUGGAUUCAGCGGCGGACGGGUGAGUAAUGCCUAGGAAUCUGCCUGGUAGUGGGGGAUAACGUCCGGAAACGGGCGCUAAUACCGCAUACGUCCUGAGGGUGAAAGUGGGGGAUCUUCGGACCUCACGCUAUCAGAUGAGCCUAGGUCGGAUUAGCUAGUUGGUGGGGUAAAGGCCUACCAAGGCGACGAUCCGUAACUGGUCUGAGAGGAUGAUCAGUCACACUGGAACUGAGACACGGCCCAGACUCCUACGGGAGGCAGCAGUGGGGAAUAUUGGACAAUGGGCGAAAGCCUGAUCCAGCCAUGCCGCGUGUGCGAAGAAGGUCUUCGGAUUGUAAAGCACUUUAAGUUGGGAGGAAGGGCAGUAAGUUAAUACCUUGCUGUUUUGACGGUACCAAAAGAAUAAGCACCGGCUAACUUCGUG